UACGGAGGGUGCAAGCGUUAUCCGGAUUCACUGGGUUUAAAGGGUGCGUAGGAGGGCAGGUAAGUCAGUGGUGAAAUCUCCGGGCUUAACUCGGAAACUGCCGUUGAUACUAUCUGUCUUGAAUACCGUGGAGAUGAGCGGAAUAUGUCAUGUAGCGGUGAAAUGCUUAGAUAUGACAUAGAACACCAAUUGCGAAGGCAGCUCGCUACACAAUUAUUGACUCUGAGGCACGAAAGCGUGGGGAUCAAACAGG
rnacentral:rRNA from 1 species